rnacentral:rRNA from 1 species
AGAGUUUGAUCCUGGCUCAGAUUGAACGCUGGCGGCAGGCCUAACACAUGCAAGUCGAGCGGUAGCACAGAGAGCUUGCUCUCGGGUGACGAGCGGCGGACGGGUGAGUAAUGUCUGGGAAACUGCCUGAUGGAGGGGGAUAACUACUGGAAACGGUAGCUAAUACCGCAUAACGUCGCAAGACCAAAGUGGGGGACCUUCGGGCCUCAUGCCAUCAGAUGUGCCCAGAUGGGAUUAGCUAGUAGGUGGGGUAAUGGCUCACCUAGGCGACGAUCCCUAGCUGGUCUGAGAGGAUGACCAGCCACACUGGAACUGAGACACGGUCCAGACUCCUACGGGAGGCAGCAGUGGGGAAUAUUGCACAAUGGGCGCAAGCCUGAUGCAGCCAUGCUGCGUGUAUGAAGAAGGCCUUCGGGUUGUAAAGUACUUUCAGCGAGGAGGAAGGCGUUAAGGUUAAUAACCUUGGCGAUUGACGUUACUCGCAGAAGAGGCACCGGCUAACUCCGUGCCAGCAGCCGCGGUAAUACGGAGGGUGCAAGCGUUAAUCGGAAUUACUGGGCGUAAAGCGCACGCAGGCGGUCUGUCAAGUCGGAUGUGAAAUCCCCGGGCUCAACCUGGGAACUGCAUUCGAAACUGGCAGGCUAGAGUCUUGUAGAGGGGGGUAGAAUUCCAGGUGUAGCGGUGAAAUGCGUAGAGAUCUGGAGGAAUACCGGUGGCGAAGGCGGCCCCCUGGACAAAGACUGACGCUCAGGUGCGAAAGCGUGGGGAGCAAACAGGAUUAGAUACCCUGGUAGUCCACGCCGUAAACGAUGUCGACUUGGAGGUUGUGCCCUUGAGGCGUGGCUUCCGGAGCUAACGCGUUAAGUCGACCGCCUGGGGAGUACGGCCGCAAGGUUAAAACUCAAAUGAAUUGACGGGGGCCCGCACAAGCGGUGGAGCAUGUGGUUUAAUUCGAUGCAACGCGAAGAACCUUACCUACUCUUGACAUCCAGAGAACUUAGCAGAGAUGCUUUGGUGCCUUCGGGAACUCUGAGACAGGUGCUGCAUGGCUGUCGUCAGCUCGUGUUGUGAAAUGUUGGGUUAAGUCCCGCAACGAGCGCAACCCUUAUCCUUUGUUGCCAGCGGUUAGGCCGGGAACUCAAAGGAGACUGCCAGUGAUAAACUGGAGGAAGGUGGGGAUGACGUCAAGUCAUCAUGGCCCUUACGAGUAGGGCUACACACGUGCUACAAUGGCAUAUACAAAGAGAAGCGACCUCGCGAGAGCAAGCGGACCUCAUAAAGUAUGUCGUAGUCCGGAUUGGAGUCUGCAACUCGACUCCAUGAAGUCGGAAUCGCUAGUAAUCGUAGAUCAGAAUGCUACGGUGAAUACGUUCCCGGGCCUUGUACACACCGCCCGUCACACCAUGGGAGUGGGUUGCAAAAGAAGUAGGUAGCUUAACCUUCGGGAGGGCGCUUACCACUUUGUGAUUCAUGACUGGGGUGAAGUCGUAACAAGGUAACC